GGCUGAAGUUCAUGAGUGUUGACUUUUGUUGCUGUGUGUUUCAGCUGUGGCAGAUUUCUGACGGUCAUCAUCAGAGAAACUGGCUUGGACUAACAGAGAGCUGGUGGACGUGACUGAAGCUCAGACUGAAGCUGGACUGCACUGACCUGUUUCAGACUCCCCUCAGAGUGACGGGAGGACGGCGUUCUGUCCCACUGGAGGAAGAGGAGGACGAAGAGCAGGGG